CUUCGAGUUUAUUGUCUAUAGUAUGGUAUGGUUAGUUUACAUUGUUCAAGUAUGCCUAGUUUACAAUUUAUGGCUAUUUUACAUUGUUCGAUUUCAUAGAACUUUUCAAGCGGAUUUUUUUUGUGGUACUUUCGUAUUUCUACUGCAAAUACUCGCGGAGUUCUGUAAUAUUUAAACUUCCUGUCAUAUAGCCUACGUCGGAAAUCAAGUAAUACGGAGCCAUAUGAGUUAAUGUUAAGAGUAAUUCUACACUAUGUUCUACACCAAUUUAUGCGACGCGAACAUGCUAUCUUACAACAAAAGUACAAUCACACUAUACACAUUUACUUAAUAACUGUAAAAAUGUAAAUACUUAAUACCGGAAAAUAAAGGCACAGAUAAAUGAGCUCAUAUUUUGAAUAUUGCACCU
rnacentral:lncRNA from 1 species